AAGAUGACCUUGAACUCCUGCCCCUUCUGCCUUUACCUCACAGGUGCUGUGGUUUCAGUUGUUUAUAAUCUCCAUGGGCCUCAUCACUCUGGAGAAGACCUAAUUUCUCCAGACUCCAUUCCAGUUGUGCCUGACAUCUGGAUUCCAGUGUAGCAGUAGAGAUAAAACAGUCUGCAGGAGUUCCUGGCCUUUGAGGGUCCCAGCUCCACUAGAGAACGGGUUGUGUACUUGGAUUAUCCUUGGCUGUGGAAGAAGGAGGAAGGCUCUGUGGAGCAAGAAGAAGAUGGAUGUGUUCUCGGUCAGUUUCACUGUUAUGCAGCCAGGCUUUGAAGAAGACCUCCAUGCUGACGACAUUGUUGUCAAGAGUCUGAAGGACAAUGUCAGCUUCCAGGAGAGCACUCUCUGCAGAAGGAGAAAGGAGAAUGGUGGUUAAGGGGGUCUCUUUGUUUGUGUGUGUG